rnacentral:tRNA from 1 species
GCCUUCGUGGUGUAGUGGUCAACACACUCAACGCUUUAUCGAGAGAUCCAUGGUUUGAUAGCACACUCAAUGUUUUAAGGAGAGAUCCAUGGUUCGAUUCCCUGUGAAGGCG